UAAACGCUGGCGGCGUGCUUAACACAUGCAAGUCGAACGGAGUACCUCUCCCGAGGAUUGAUGAAGCUUGCUUCUGAUUGACUCAUUGAGAUACUUAGUGGCGGACGGGUGAGUAACGCGUGGGUAACCUGCCUCACACAGGGGGAUAACAGUUGGAAACGACUGUUAAUACCGCAUAAGCGCACAGCUUCGCAUGAAGCAGUGUGAAAAACUCCGGUGGUGUGAGAUGGACCCGCGUCUGAUUAGCUAGUUGGUGAGGUAACGGCCCACCAAGGCAACGAUCAGUAGCCGGCCUGAGAGGGUGUACGGCCACAUUGGGACUGAGACACGGCCCAAACUCCUACGGGAGGCAGCAGUGGGGAAUAUUGGACAAUGGGGGAAACCCUGAUCCAGCCGACGCCGCGUGAGUGAUGAAGUAUCUCGGUAUGUAAAGCUCUAUCAACAGGGAAGAAAUUGACGGUACCUGACUAAGAAGCACCGGCUAAAUACGUGCCAGCCGCAGC
rnacentral:rRNA from 1 species